AUUGAACGCUGGCGGCAGGCCUAACACAUGCAAGUCGAACGAGUGGCGGACGGGUGAGUAAUGUCUGGGAAACUGCCAGAUGGAGGGGGAUAACUACUGGAAACGGUAGCUAAUACCGCAUACCAUCAGAUGUGCCCAGAUGGGGUUAGCUUUUUGGUGGGGUAACGGCUCACCAAGGCGAAGAUCCAUAGCUGGUCUUAGAGGAUGACCAGCCACACUGAGACUGAGCCACGGUCCAGACUCCUACGGGAGGCAGCAGUGGGGAAUAUUGCACAAUGGGCGCAAGCCUGAUGCAGCCAUGCCGCGUGUAUGAAGAAGGCCGUCGGGUUGUAAAGUACUUUCAGCGGGGAGGCGUUACCCGCAGAAGAAGCACCGGCUAACUCCGUGCCAGCAGCCGCGGUAAUAC
rnacentral:rRNA from 1 species